GACAAAAAUAGAUAUGUUGGCUUAAAUAGGCCGGCAUCCUGCCCUGUGGCAGGAGGCCGUGUUGGGUCGAGUAAUAUUUGAAAUGACGUGAGACUGGGUGGACCGAGUUAUUUUCGAAGUGGCAUGAGGCUGGGUGGGUCAAGUCACAAUCGAGACCCGUGGACGCAGUGUCUACACAAUUUAAGUGAAUUGAUUGCGUAUUUCUAUCAAUUUGAGCUUUUGGGAUGAAUAGUUAGCGCCAGCGAUCCGAUAAGAUACAUGUAUUAGAGAAGGUGGGGAUGAUAAAGACC
rnacentral:lncRNA from 1 species